rnacentral:rRNA from 1 species
GAGGGGGUGCAAACGUUAUUCGGAUUUAUUGGGUGUAAAGGGUGUGUAGACGGCCUAUUAAGUUUGUUGUUAAAUCUUCCGGGCCUAACCGGAAGCUCGCGAUGAAAACUGAUAGACUUGAGGAUGGAAGAGAGAAGUGGAAUUCUCGGAGUAGCGGUAAAAUGCGUAGAUCUCGAGAGGAACACCGAUGGCGAAGGCAGCUUCUUGGUCCAUUCCUGACGUUGAAACACGAAAGCGUGGGGAGCAAACAGGAUUAGAUACCCUGGUAGUCCACGCCGUAAACGAUGAUCACUAGAUGUUGGCCCUGUUUUGCAGGGUUAGUAUCGAAGCUAACGCGUUAAGUGAUCCACCUGGGAACUACGAUCGCAAAGAUUAA